CCCUUAGAUGUUCUGGGCCGCACGCGCGCUACACUGACGAAUUCAACGAGCUUAUAACCUUGGCCGAUAGGUCUGGGUAAUCUUUGAACGCUGUUCGUGAUUGGGAUAGACCUUUGCAAUUAUGGGUCUUCAACGAGGAAUUCCUAGUAAACGCAAGUCAUCAGCUUGCAUUGAUUACGUCCCUGCCCUUUGUACACACCGCCCGUCGCACCUACCGAUUGAAUGGUCCGGUGAAAUCUCGGGACGGCGGCUUGGUCGCUUGCGUCCGACUGCUGAAACUUGAUUAAACCAUAUCAUUUAGAGGAAGGUGAANUCGUAACA
rnacentral:rRNA from 1 species